AAACUUUUGGAGGAGGAAAUGGCAGAAUCACAGGGCAUCCUCAGCAUGGCAGCAGAGAAGGAUCCCCCAAAGGCUGGGCACCCCGAAGAGGAAGUAGGAAAGAGGAACAUGGGCAGGUAAUCCUAUAAUACAAAGAGCUGCCUUCCCCUAGGAUUGAGAAGACUAGCUGCUUCAGGGGCAGGAUUCACACCAAACAGCCAGUGACCUAACCCUUCCUCCUCCAUGAUACUAUCAAUCCAAACUUUCUGCUCUCUGAUGGUCCACAGUGAUCAUUUCUGGGGGCAGUGCUGUCCAGCAGAUACGAUACAAUGCAAGCACCAUAUGCCAUCUUAAAUAUCCUAGUGGCCCCAUUUUUAAAAGUCCAAAGAAACAGGUGAGAUUAAUUUUAAUACCUGUUUUAACCCAACAUAUCAAAAAAAAAAGUAUCAUUUCAACAUGGAAUCAAAAAGUAUCAUUUCAACAUGGACUCGGUAUAAAAAUUACUGAGCUAUUUGAUGUUCUUUAUUUUUUUUUCCAAAUGAAGUCUUCAAAAUUUGAUGUGAAUUUUGCUCUUAGAAAACACAUCAGUUUGAAGCAGCUACAUUUCCAGAGCUCAGUAAUCCCACAAGGCCACCAGCUACCAUAUAUAAGACAGCAAAUAUUUAGACUCUUGGUUAGGAGUUGGAAUCCCCACUCACCUAUGAGUCACUCAGACCUCAUGGCUAAUAGGCUGGAGAUCCGUGUUGGCCCUGAGUAGAAAGUGCAGGAGUGAUGUCCAGGCUGCCAUCCUAGCCCAGGAGAGGACCACUGCUUGUCAAACACGUCACAUCUGGCCAAGAGGUUCAGCGCUGCCCUUGGACACAGCCCCAGAUGGCCCAUCAGAGUUCUAGAAGCCACAAAGCAAGUCACUUUUUUCAGCUAUAGGAGCACUAGCUUAUCCUUUAUCUAGAUGCCCUUUAUCUGAGGGUAGAGAGAGGGCCAGACGGACCUUGUCUUUGUCAGGAACAAAGAUCUCCACAACCUCUUGUCACCUGGUCCAGUCACCUGCUAAUAGCAUCUCACCAACAUUCAGAGCUGUUUUCUCAACCCCUUACUUUCCUUAAAUGCUAAAAGAGCAGUGGCCACAGGCAGACUGGGUCUCCUAGGAGGUGACAAUGACAGGCUCUGUCCCUUACACUGGGACUCAGGGUCUACUAUUGCCCACCUCUCUUCCCUGCCUGGAGGCCUUCCUUAGAUUUGAAGAAACCUCUUUUGGGGGUGGAGACAAGAAGUGAGAUCUUUAGUGCCAAGUACAGAAUAAAAUGCAAGCAAACAACCCCUGGGCGUUCUCAAAGCAUUUAGAAGACCAAAUAUGACAUGGUUGGGUUCAUUUAAAAUACCACGUUCUGAGCCCUCGGUUACUGAGCAAAAGAGAAUGAGCUGAUUCGGUGAGUAUGUUUUAUAUAUGGUCAUUAGACAGGGACCAUAGCCGACAAAACUCUCGAAACACCUGGAGUGUUUAUGGUCCACCAGAUUAUUGCUCAGUCAAUAGACAUUGAUUUACCUUUAAUUUGCAUAGUGCUUUCUGAUUGGUUAGACAAGGUGUGACGUGUUCUGCAGGAUUCCAACAUCACCUCUGCCCUCGGAGGUAGCAAUUCCUGUGGUUAUUGGUGCUAAAAAUAAGAUUAAAUAUUAUGUUAAUUUGUUCUGAUACGAUGUGAAUACGUGUUGUUUAAUCUUAACAAGAAUGCUACAUCUUAUCAGAUCUAUUGUACUGUCUGUUCCUUCUCAUAGUUAAUUAAUUACAGGAAAGGUGAUCCAAACCAGAUCUCAAAACUAUUGUGCUAUUCUGAGAGGUGAAUUUAACAGGGAUGUGGGAGGGGUGGGAUGAAAAGGGAAAUUGCCAGGUUCCUGUGACUUUGCAAGAACUGAGGAAGCAGAGAGCAUUUGGGGACUUCUGACACUGACUGCAUCUUGCAAUUUUCUUUUUCGAAUUUGGCAGAAAUACUGUAUUUCCAUCGAUCGAAGAAAAAAAAAAGUGUCUGGUAAUUAAUUAAAUGACUUGUUCAUGGAAAAAAUAAAAAUAAAUAACCUGUCAGUUGUGG
ensembl:lncRNA